rnacentral:lncRNA from 1 species
CGCUGGCGCAGUUUCCUACAUCCACAAUUUCCCACUGUGUUCAAAGAAAGAGUGGAGGAUUUUCAAAGGACAAGCCAAGCAGGAAACUAAGAAAUGAUACUAGGAGGAAAGACAACACAAUACCUUCCUGGGAGCUGUAGAAUCAGAUAUCUCUGCUGGUCCAUAUUUUGGAGUUAUGGAACAACCUGCCCACUCAUUCUGGAAUUGUAGGACUUCUUCCUAAGGUAAAACCAUUAAAAUCAUACUUAAGAGAGUCUCUUGUCAAAUGAGAACUCUUGGAACUUCCUUUUCCAGUGACUUUAUUCAGACAUAAAAUAAUCC